rnacentral:rRNA from 1 species
UACCUACGGGAGGCAGCAGUGAGGAAUAUUGGUCAAUGGGCUUACGCCUGAACCAGCCAAGUCGCGUGAGGGAAGACUGCCCUAUGGGUUGUAAACCUCUUUUGUCAGGGAGCAACGCCGGCUACGUGUAGCCGGACUGAGAGUACCUGAAGAAUAAGCCACGGCUAACUACGUGCCAGCAGCCGCGGUAAUACGUAGGUGGCAAGCGUUAUCCGGAUUUACUGGGUGUAAAGGGCGUGUAGGCGGGAGAGCAAGUCAGACGUGAAAUUCCAGGGCU